UACAGAGGGGGCAAGCGUUGUUCGGAAUUACUGGGCGUAAAGGGCGCGUAGGCGGCCUGCUAAGUCGAACGUGAAAUCCCUGGGCUCAACCCAGGAACUGCGUCCGAUACUGGCUGGCUUGAAUCCGGGAGAGGGAUGCGGAAUUCCAGGUGUAGCGGUGAAAUGCGUAGAUAUCUGGAGGAACACCGGUGGCGAAGGCGGCAUCCUGGACCGGCAUUGACGCUGAGGCGCGAAAGCCAGGGGAGCAAACGGG
rnacentral:rRNA from 1 species